UGAGUAACACGUAUCCAACCUGCCGUCUACUCUUGGACAGCCUUCUGAAAGGAAGAUUAAUACAAGAUGGCAUCAUGAGUCCGCAUGUUCACAUGAUUAAAGGUAUUCCGGUAGACGAUGGGGAUGCGUUCCAUUAGAUAGUAGGCGGGGUAACGGCCCACCUAGUCAACGAUGGACAGGGGUUCUGAGAGGAAGGUCCCCCACAUUGGAACUGAGACACGGUCCAA
rnacentral:rRNA from 1 species